CCUACGGGAGGCAGCAGUAGGGAAUUUUCCACAAUGGGCGCAAGCCUGAUGGAGCAACACCGCGUGAGUGAAGAAGGGUUUCGGCUCGUAAAGCUCUGUUGUUGGAGAAGAACGUGCGUGAGAGUAACUGUUCACGCAGUGACGGUAUCCAACCAGAAAGUCACGGCUAACUACGUGCCAGCAGCCGCGGUAAUACGUAGGUGGCAAGCGUUAUCCGGAUUUAUUGGGCGUAAAGCGAGCGCAGGCGGUUGCUUAGGUCUGAUGUGAAAGCCUUCGGCUUAACCGAAGAAGUGCAUCGGAAACCGGGCAACUUGAGUGCAGAAGAGGACAGUGGAACUCCAUGUGUAGCGGUGGAAUGCGUAGAUAUAUGGAAGAACACCAGUGGCGAAGGCGGCUGUCUGGUCUGCAACUGACGCUGAGGCUCGAAAGCAUGGGUAGCGAACAGGAUUAGAUACCCCAGUAGUC
rnacentral:rRNA from 1 species